GCCGGCCGCAGCCGCACGGCCGAUCCCGAUCGCUUUUCAUUUGUUUCGCUGUUUUUUGUUCCUCCUUAGCCCUCCAUGCUCCGCAUUCACUGCUGCGGCCCAUCAUCGCCGUUCAUGUGUUUUUUUUCUCCUUGUUUUUGCGGCAUUUUCAGUUUUCCUGUUCCAUUCCGCCUUUGUUAUUGGUGCAGCAUUGCUUUUUCCUUCAGUGCGCCGUUGCUGUUGCUCGCGCUUUUGUUUUCCGGCGUUUGCUUUGGGAAGAAGGAGUAAUAAAGUGGAAGUCGUUGGACAGAAUCUAGAUUGCGAAAAUUUUUGGCGUAGGAAUCAAAGAAGCAACGGUCACUGCUCGUGAAGAUUCCCAAAGAGACAAGGUUGGAGGUUAAGUCAGGCUCCAGUUGAUGGCAAUUCAUCUUCGAACAUUCGUAACACUGGACAUAUAGACGUAUAUAAACAUGCGCAUGUGAACAACGUAUUGAUACAUAUGAGGAAAUGCAGAGGAAAAAAGAAAGAUUGUGUUUGGAAACCAGCUAAGGAUACCCCAUUGAAGUAAUGACUCCCUG
rnacentral:lncRNA from 1 species